GACGAACGCUGGCGGCGUGCUUAACACAUGCGAGUCGAACGGAAGGGCCCUGCUUUUGUGGGGUGCUCGAGUGGCGAACGGGUGAGUAACACGUGAGUAACCUGCCCUGUGCGUUGGGAUAACUUCAGGGAACUGGUGCUAAUACCGGCUAGGAGCUCCUGCUGCAUGGUGGUGGUUGGAAAGUUUAGUCGGUUGGGGAUGGACUCGCGGGUUAUCAGCUUGUUGGUUGGGUAGUUACUUACCAAGGCUUUGACGGGUAGCCGGCCUGAGAGGGUGACCGGCCACAUUGGGACUGAGGUACGGCCCAGACUCCUACGGGAGACAGCAGUGGGGAAUAUUGCACAAUGGGCGGAAGCCUGAUGCAGCAACGCCGCGUGCGGGAUGACGGCCUUCGGGUUGUAAACCGCUUUCGCCUGUGACGAAGCGUGAGUGACGGUAAUGGGUAAAGAAGCACCGGCUAACUACGUG
rnacentral:rRNA from 1 species